UACGUAGGGGGCAAGCGUUGUCCGGAAUCAUUGGGCGUAAAGAGCGCGUAGGCGGCCCAGUAAGUCCGCUCUGAAAGUCAGGGGCUCAACCCCUGAAUGCGGGUGGAUACUGCUGGGCUAGAGUCCGGAAGAGGCGAGUGGAAUUCCUGGUGUAGCGGUGAAAUGCGCAGAUAUCAGGAGGAACACCGAUGGCGAAGGCAGCUCGCUGGGACGGUGACUGACGCUGAGGCGCGAAAGACGUGGGGAGCAAACAGG
rnacentral:rRNA from 1 species